GUUUUCACCACAUAUCCUAAAAUUGAAAUAAUACAGAGGCCAUUAGCAUGGCUUCUGUGUAAAGAUGAUGUGUAGAUUUGUGGCUAUUUUCC
rnacentral:snRNA from 1 species